AGUUUGAUCAUGGCUCAGGACGAACGCUGGCGGCGUGCCUAAUACAUGCAAGUCGAGCGAGCUUGCCUAGACGAUUUUAGUGCUUGCACUAAAUGAAACUAGAUACAAGCGAGCGGCGGACGGGUGAGUAACACGUGGGUAACCUGCCCAAGAGACUGGGAUAACACCUGGAAACAGAUGCUAAUACCGGAUAACAACACUAGACGCAUGUCUAGAGUUUGAAAGAUGGUUCUGCUAUCACUCUUGGAUGGACCUGCGGUGCAUUAGCUAGUUGGUAAGGUAACGGCUUACCAAGGCAAUGAUGCAUAGCCGAGUUGAGAGACUGAUCGGCCACAUUGGGACUGAGACACGGCCCAAACUCCUACGGGAGGCAGCAGUAGGGAAUCUUCCACAAUGGACGAAAGUCUGAUGGAGCAACGCCGCGUGAGUGAAGAAGGGUUUCGGCUCGUAAAGCUCUGUUGGUAGUGAAGAAAGAUAGAGGUAGUAACUGGCCUUUAUUUGACGGUAAUUACUUAGAAAGUCACGGCUAACUACGUGCCAGCAAGCCGCGGUAAUACGUAGGUGGCAAGCGUUGUCCGGAUUU
rnacentral:rRNA from 1 species